GCGAGGCCGCCAGAAGACAAGAGAAGGAGGAGGCGGCGGCAAUGGAGACUUCCUGGGUGGAAAUCUCUCAAAAAGGCGUUUGGACUCAUAUGAAGAUAUGGAGCCCUUGGAGGUGGCACCUGGUUUUGGACAUCAGGAGGCGUGUGCGUUUGCUCCAGGGAUUACAUCCGCACAGCAGAGGCCUACCAGACAGCCUGCAUGGCCACCACACGAGGCAAAGACCUGCAAUGUUGAGAAUUAUUGCCCUCAGAGAUAGGAUGAGGAGCUUGGUCAUCCGGGAGGAGCUCUGAGUACCUUCACAUCGAGAAGAGCCAGUUGAGGUGGCUCGGGUAUCUAGUCCGGAUGCCUCCGGGAAACCUCCCUAGUGAGGUGUUCCGGACAUGCCGAGCCAGGAGAAGGCCCCAGGGCAGACCUGGGACAUAGUGGAGGGAUUAUGUCUCACAGCUGGCCUGCGGAAUGCCUCGCUGUCCCCCCGGUGGAACUGGAAGAGGUGGACACCGGAAAGUCUGGACAUCCCUACUGAGACUGCUGCCCAUGCAACCUGGACCGGGCUACAAGUGUCCGUGAAUGCACCUUCCGAGGAGGACUAGAGACGUGUUUGGGGGUGGAGAUACAUACAGUACAUGGUGUUGGAAUUGCUCUGCUGUAAAUGUGUUCAGGUCAGAAUAAAGUUGUAAAGGAGCGUCAGACUCUGUGUGAGUAUGUGGGGACACUACACUACGCUUCCGUCUGCUGUCAUAAC